rfam:Trichobilharzia regenti genome assembly, scaffold: TRE_scaffold0002702
GUGCUGCUGAAGAGUUCCAAACUAGGACGAAGCAGCUGCCCAGUAC